rnacentral:rRNA from 1 species
CCUACGGGGCGCAGCAGUGAGGAAUAUUGGUCAAUGGACGAGAGUCUGAACCAGCCAAGUAGCGUGAAGGAUGACUGCCCUAUGGGUUGUAAACUUCUUUUAUAUGGGAAUAAAACGUUCCACGUGUGGGAUUUUGUAUGUACCAUAUGAAUAAGGAUCGGCUAACUCCGUGCCAGCAGCCGCGGUAAUACGGAGGAUCCGAGCGUUAUCCGGAUUUAUUGGGUUUAAAGGGUGCGUAGGCGGAAUGCCAAGUCAGCGGUAAAAUCGCGGGGCUCAACCUCGCUCCGCCGUUGAAACUGGCGUUCUUGAGUGGGCGAGAAGUAUGCGGAAUUCGUGGUGUAGCGGUGAAAUGCUUAGAUAUCACGAAGAACUCCGAUUGCGAAGGCAGCUCACUGGACUGCAACUGACACUGAGGCUCGAAAGUGUGGGUAUCAAACAGGAUUAGAUACCCCAGUAGUC